GACGAACGCUGGCGGCGUGCCUAAUACAUGCAAGUCGAACGCAGUGGGGACUGGUGAGUAACACGGGGGUAACCUCCCAUCAGAGGGGAGAACACUUGGAAACAUGUGCUAAACCGAUACUGAUGGAUGAACCCGCGUUGUAUUAGCUAGGUGGUGAGGUAAAGGCUCACCAAGGCCACGAUGCCUAGCCGACCUGAGAGGGUGAUCGGCCACACUGGAACUGAGACACGGCCCAGACUCCUACGGGAGGCAGCAGUAGGGAAUCUUCGGCAAUGGACGAAAGUCUGACCGAGCAACGCCGCGUGAGUGAAGAAGGUCUUCGGAUCGUAAAACUCUGUUGGUAGAGAAGCGGUAUCAACCCAGAAAGCCACGGCUAACUACGUGCCAGCAGCCGCGGUAAUAC
rnacentral:rRNA from 1 species